CCUACGGGAGGCAGCAGUAGGGAAUAUUGCUCAAUGGGGGAAACCCUGAAGCAGCAACGCCGCGUGGAGGAUGAAGGUUUUCGGAUUGUAAACUCCUUUUGUUAGAGAAGAUAAUGACGGUAUCUAACGAAUAAGCACCGGCUAAAUCCGUGCCAGCAGCCGCGGGAAUACGGAGGGUGCAAGCGUGAGGCGGAAUCGCUGGGCGUAAAGAGCGCGUAAGAGGGAUUGCAAGUCAGGUGUGAAAACCUAUGGGUUAACCCAAGGAAAGACUUUGAAACUGUUAUUCUAGAGUGUGGGAGAGGUAGGUGGAAUUCUUGGUGUAGGGGGAAAAUGCGUAGAGAUCUAGAGGAAUACUCAUGGCGAAGGCGACCUGCUGGCCCAUAACUGACGCUGAUGCACGAAAGCGUGGGGAGCAAACAGGAUUAGAUACCCCUGUAGUC
rnacentral:rRNA from 1 species